UACAGGUGCUUGCACUUGUACUUAGGUGGCAGACGGGUGAGUAACGCGUGGGAACGUACCUUUUGGUUCAGGACAACGGCUGGAAACGGUCGCUAAUCUGGAUAAGCCCUUUGGGGGAAAGAUUUAUUGCCAAAAGAGCGGCCCGCGUUAGAUUAGGUAGUUGGUGGGGUAAUGGCCUACCAAGCCGACGAUCCAUAGCUGGUUUGAGAGGAUGAUCAGCCACACUGGGACUGAGACACGGCCCAGACUCC
rnacentral:rRNA from 1 species